rnacentral:tRNA from 1 species
AUUUAUAUAGUUUAUCUAAAACAUUACAUUUUCACUGUAAAAAUAUCUUUAAAAUUAUAAAUA